rnacentral:rRNA from 1 species
UACAGAGGGGGCAAGCGUUGUCCGGAUUUACUGGGCGUACAGCGCGCGCAGGCGGUUGCGUAUGUGAGCGGUGACAUCCGCGGGCUCAACCCGCGGCGGCCCGCUUACACAGCGCGACUGGAGGCAGGGAGAGGGAUGUGGAAUACCCGGUGGAGCGGUGAAAUGCGUAGAUAUCGGGAGGAACACCAGUGGCGAAGGCGACUUCCUGGCCUGUUCUUGACGCUGAGGCGCGAAAGCUAGGGUAGCAAACGGG